UUGUGGAGGAGGACGCCGAAGGUGGGGCUAAUGACUGGGGUGAAGUCGUAACAAGGUAGCCGUACCGGAAGGUGCGGCUGGAUCACCUCCUAACAGGGAGACAACAAAAUGUUUAAUAUUAUUAUUUUGUCACCUUAGGUCGAUCGGUAUCUCACGUUUUUAAUUUAUUAAAAAUUUCAUUUCCUAAGUUUUUCUAGGUCACACCCAUUUUUUUUCCUGGGCCAUUAGCUCGGGUGGUUAGAGCGCACCCCUGAUAAGGGUGAGGUCCCUGGUUCAAGUCCAGGAUGGCCCAUAUCUCUAUGUUGGGGGUAUAGCUCAGUUGGUAGAGCGCCUGCUUUGCAAGCAGGAUGUCAGCGGUUCGAGUCCGCUUACCUCCACUGAUUACCACCUCUUCCAUAAUCUGUAGAAGGGAAAAAUUUGAGUUGUGAUCAUAAUUCUGAACGAAUCUAGCUUCCUAAUCAAAUCAUUAAGGUGCUGGACUCAUUGAAUUAAUUUCAUUGUUUUCAGAGAACCUUGACAACUGCAUAGAUUAUUUCUAAAGACAAAAAGCAUCUUUAAUGAUGCAGAUUUAUUAUUUGUGCAAAUGCAUUAAUAACAAUUCUAUUAAGCUGAUGCUUCAAUUUUGAAGUUAUUGGUCAAGCUACAA
rnacentral:misc_RNA from 1 species